GUAUGAGGGAACUUCUGGAACCAACAGGACAGAAUAUCCAGCAACAAUAGAGAUAAAGCAACAAAAAGUCCUCUCAGUCCUAUUCCCUAAAUAACUUUCCCUUAGAGGGAUAUUAUUCCCAAAU